UGUGUCAUCGCUGCUUUGAUCCCCCUAUUAACACCCGGUCUUUAUUCCCCAGGUGCCCGAUCCCAGGUGCAGUUGGUGGAGUCCGGAGGGGAUGUGAAGAAGCCCGGAGACUCUCUGCGCCUCUCCUGCAAAGCGUCCGGCUUCACCUUCAGCAGCUACUGGAUGCUCUGGGUCCGGCAGGCUCCCGGCAAGGGGCCGGAGUGGGUCGCUGCUAUCGAGUACGAUGGGGAUAGGAUAUUCUACCUUGAUGCCGUGAAAGGCCGAUUCACCAUCUCCAGGGACAACCCCAACAACCUGCUGUCCCUGCAAAUGACCGGCCUGAAGCCCGAGGACACCGCCCGCUAUUACUGUGCGGGAGGCACAGUGAGGAAAAGCCGGUCUGAGCCCAGACACAAACCUCCCCCUGCAGUGAGCAGCGAAGCCGUUUGGCGCUGGGGGCGCCCAAGCUCCAUGCAGGAAAUGAAACCGAGUUCAGAGAGAGGCUGGGAACAGCAAACCCCUUUCACUGUCGCUCUCAGCCCUCCGCCUUGAGGGGCGGCAGCUCCCGGGACAGGGCUGCA